rnacentral:rRNA from 1 species
CAGCAGUCGCCGCGGGAAUACGAAGGGUGCAAGCGUUACUCGGAAUUACUGGGCGUAAAGCGUGCGUAGGUGGUUGUUUAAGUCUGCUGUGAAAGCCCUGGGCUCAACCUGGGAAUUGCAGUGGAUACUGGGCAACUAGAGUAAGGUAGAGGAUAGUGGAAUUUCCGGUGUAGCAGUGAAAUGCGUAGAGAUCUGGAGGAAUACCGAUGGCGAAGGCAGCCAUCUGGCCUAAUACUGACGCUGAGGUACGAAAGCAUGGGGAGCAAACAGGAUUAGAUACCCCAGUAGUCCCUGUCUCUUAUAC